AUUUUAGUUCCCUUUCUGAAUGAAGUUUUCAGUGCCAAAAUUCUGCUGAGUCGGACCGACAUAUGGCCGAUAUUAGGGUGAUCUGAAACAUUUCCUAUUUUCUGGAAAAAUGGUUCAGCCAAACCAAAUUUUCUUGAUAUGUACAACUCUAAUAAAUACCUACUUGUGGUAUUACAAAUGACUAGCUCACUAAAACAAUCCGCAAAUACAAGAUCAGUUUAGGAUUUCAUAAUGACCAAACUAGAUGAGACAAUCGGCUUUCAUCUACCAUCACAAUGGUGAUUAAGUUAAGUGAGAAUUGUCGUGAAUACAUAGUGAAUUUUAAAUUCUACGUCAAAAUAGCCAAUGUGGAAGCAUAUCUGAAUUGGAUUUUUUCUGUUUCACCUAUUAGGGAAUGAACUUUAAAUUCACUUUGAACUCCUGAUAAAUCUCACUUUAGUGACUUACUCUGUAUGUCUAAUUGCACAAGAGGAGCCUUGUAGGGAUAACAUGAG